CAGGCAGCUGGAUCGAAUCAUCCGGAUCUGGCUCUUCUUCUUCUUCUUCUAAUCUUCUUCUUUUGCGAUAUGGAAAUUCCUUCGGAUCCUCUUCAACAUCAUCUUCUUUUCUUCUUUUACAAGACAAAACCAGAGGAAGGUCUGUGUCUGUGUCUGUGUCUGUGAUUUUGAUUGACUCCACCGCCAUGGUAACGGCGGAAACAGAAGCAGAUAUUUCUUUGUUGGGUUGGGGAAAAGGAAGAGAAACCUAAAUAAACGAAAACAACCGAAGUUUAAUACUAUAAACCGGAAAGGUAAUUUAAGUAUUUUAAAUCUAUGGAUUUGCCUUUAUAAUUUAUAGACGGCCAUAUACGUGUCGGUUUCCAUGUCGGUUUCUGAUUGAGCUGGACUAAUCCAAACCGUUUAUUUUUAUUUUCCAAUAAAUGGUUAAAAAUUGUAUUUCGACAGCCACAUAUGCACUCUGCCUAAUGCACUCUGUCACUCCUUUAUUACUUUAAUUCCUAAAGUAAAAAGUCAUGAAUAUGUCUCCCAAUAUCGACCUAUCUGCCUUAGUAAUGUUCUUUUUAGAAUUUUUUCAAAGGUGUUGGCAAACAAGUUGAAACAAAUUAUGCCACAGCUUGUCUCUGAUCAUCAAAGUGCUUUCAUGGCGGAUCGGUUAAUUUCAGACAACAUCAUGGUGGCUUUUGAGACUCUACACUACAUGAGAAAUCACUCAUCGGGUAACACAGGGUACAUGGCUUUGAAGUUGGACAUGAGUAAGGCGUACGAUAGAGUGGAGUGGCGAUACAUGGAGAAACUGAUGCGGAAAAUGGGUUUUGCAGAGGCAUGGGUUAAAUUGAUGAUGAAGUGUAUUUCGACAACCACAUACUCGGUUUUGAUAAAUGGGGAACCCCAAGGGCACAUUACCCCAACUAGAGGCCUUAGACAAGGCGACCCUCUCUCCCCUUAUUUAUUUCUUUUAUGCACAGAGGGUUUUCAUGGGUUGUUGAAAAAAGCUGAAACUUUGGGUGACAUAAGGGGGGUUUCGAUUUGCCGGAAUGGUCCUAGACUAACUCACCUUCUUUUUGCAGACGAUAGUCUUAUCUUCUGCAGGGCAAAAGAAAGCGAGUGUCAGAAAUUAUUGGAAGUCUUAACCAAGUAUGAAGGUGCAUCGGGGCAGCAAAUAAAUAGAGACAAAACCACUCUAUUCUUCAGUAAAUCAACCUCUCAGGAUAUGCAAAACACAAUCAAAACCGCUCUUGGAGUACCGGUGGUGUAGCAAUAUGAAAAGUACUUGGGCCUACCAUCUUUCAUUGGUCGAAGAAAAAAAGAGAGCUUUGACAAUAUCAAACAAAGGGUGUGGAAAAAAUUGCAAGGGUGGGAAGGGAAAUUACUAUCUCAGGCAAGAAGGGAGAUUCUAAUCAAGGCAGUGGCACAAGCUUUGCCUACAUACGCGAUGUCGUGUUUCAAGCUACCAAUCGGAUUGUGCCAUGAUAUUGAGACUUUGGUUAAAAAAAAAUUUUGGGGUCAAAGAGGAGAGAGCAGAAAGGUCCAUUGGACAAAAUGGGAGGAGCUUUGCAAACCGAAGACACAAGGGGGAAUGGGUUUCAAAGAUCUUUCAAGAUUCAAUGAUGCACUACUUGCAAAGCAAACUUGGAGACUCUUGCAUGAUAAAACAUCACUGUUUUAUAGAGUUUUCAAAGCCAAGUAUUUUCCCAACUGCACAAUUAUGGAAGCCACAAGUCCGAACUCAGCCUCAUAUGCAUGGAAAAGCAUAAUUAAUGGCAGGGAAGUAAUACAAAAGGGUGCGGUUUGGAGGAUUGGAGAUGGAUGCUCAGUUUCAAUUUGGGGUACACGUUGGUUGCCUGUAAAACACUCCCCAAAAAUUAUUUCACCAUGUACAGGAGCUUUGGCAGAUGCUAAAGUUAGUGCUCUCUUGGAUGUUGAAAACAGAGCUUGGAAGGAAGAUGUGCUGGAGGAAAUCUACUGAGUUUUGAAGCGGAGAUGAUCAAAAAAAUCCCCUUGAGCCACACGGACCAGGCAGACACCCUCACCUGGCCUUUCAGCCCUACUGGGGGUUACACGGUCAAGUCAGGGUACACUUUCUUGCAACAAGAGUACCAUUCAUCUCAACCUGGUCAAUCUGAUCCGGAGUCUCUAAAACCUCUCUGGAAGUCAAUAUGGAGUUUACAGGUUCCGAGUAAGGUGAAAAAUUUUAUUUGGCGGGCAUUAAAAGAUUCUUUACCUACAAAGAAGAACCUGAUGAAGAGGAAAGUCAUUGAUGAUAACCUUUGUGAGCAAUGCAAAGACCAAAGAGAGGACGUGGUCCAUGCACUAUAUCACUGUCCGAAGCUGCGUGGACUGUGGUCAGAUGUACAGCUCUGGGAUCAUAGUUGCUUGAAGCAGGCGACAUCUUUUAUUGAUCUAAUCGGUUGUGUUUUGCAGAUAACAGGGAUCCAACACACUUCUCCAUGGUGGCGUGGGCAAUCUGGAACCGGAGAAAUAACCUUCGCUUCGGAAAACCAGCAGCUCCUCUCAACGAGCUGAUAACUCAAGCACAAGAUAGGAUGCAUGAAUUUAAGCUCUACAACGUCUCAACCAUCAUCCCAGUGGGCCGACCACCAACCAGUUGGCAAGCACCGAGCAGCAACAUUUACAAAGUUAAUUUCGAUGGCGCUAUAUUUGCAGCAGAAAAUAGCGCCGGCUUGGGAGUGGUCAUCCGCAACUCAGAGGGCCAAGUCAUGCUCUCUCUUUCGGAAAAACCACACUUCCCUUUACAGCUAUCGAAGUGGAAGCACUGGCAGCAAGGAGGGCUUUGAAGCUAGCACUAGAGACCGGGUUUCAACAGAUAACCUUGGAAGGGGACUCGUAGAUACUUAUCUCAGCACUAGUAAACAAUACUCACUCUCUGUCAAGCUUUAGACACAUACUGAAGGACAUUCAGUUUCUUGCCUCAUGUUUCUCAAAAAUAAAUUACUCUCAUGUGCGUAAGCAUUGUAAUAUUGUAGCUCACUCUUUAGCAAGAAGGGCAAUUUCUUUAUCUCAAAUGCAAGUCUGGAUGGAAGAUGUACAACCAGAUAUUCUUCCUGUACUUCAGGCCGACUUAACUGGCCUUCCUACUUAAUAAGAGUUUGGUCUUCUUUCUAAAAAAAAAAAAAAAAAAAAAAAAAAAAAGAAUAUUUCAAACUUUAACUUUUCCUAUUUAACUAUACUAAUAUAUACUGUAUAUAUAGUCCCACUAACCGAGCAACGGUCAUCUCUCUCUCUCUCUCUCUCUGUUUCAGAUUUUGAAUUUGAACCCAAAACCCUCUUCCCAAAAAAAAUCAAAAUCUCAAAAAGAGCUUCCCCAAAACCAUCAAAAUCUGAAUCUUUUUCAGAUUCUGCACCCAA